rnacentral:rRNA from 1 species
GAUGAACGCUGGCGGCGUGCCUAAUACAUGCAAGUCGAGCGAACAGACGAGGAGCUUGCUCCUCUGACGUUAGCGGCGGACGGGUGAGUAACACGUGGCUAACCUACCUAUAAGACUGGGAUAACUUCGGGAAACAGGAGCUAAUACCGGAAAAUAUAUUGAACCGCAUGGUUCAAUAGUGAAAGACGGUAUUGCUGUCACCUAUAGAUAGAACCGCGACGCAGUAUCUAGCUGGUAAGAGAAAGGGUUACCAAGGCAACGAUGCGUAGCCGACCGCAGAGGCUUAUCGACCACACUGCAACUGAGGCACGAUCCAGCCUCCGACUGGAGGCUGCAGCAGGGAAUCUUCCGCAACGGGGGAAAGCCUGACAAAGCAACACCGAGGGAGUGAUGAAAGUCUUCGGUUCGUAAGACUCUGUUAUUAGUUACGAUCGAAUGUGUAUUUGACGAGGAACGUCUGGACGCUACCUUGUCAGAAUGCCACCGCUAACUGCGUG